rnacentral:misc_RNA from 1 species
AAAUAUCAUCAAAUUUUGACAUUAUGUUAAUAUUAGGAUCAUGUCAAGGAAGCGAUUUCCAUUUAUAUGGAUAGCUCCUUGGAAAUUCAUAGGUAGUAUAGUUGCUAUCAUUAGAACGUGAUGAAAAUUCCUUCGUUCAAAUGGAGUUUACUUGUAUGGCCCUGAAACCAUAUAUACCAUUUUGGUAUUUUGUCA